rnacentral:rRNA from 1 species
AAUUGACGGGGCCCGCACAAGCGGUGGAGUAUGUGGUUUAAUUCGAUGCAACGCGAAAAACCUUACCUGGGCUUGACAUCCCGGGAAUCCCUUGGAAACAAGGGAGUGCCCUUCGGGGAACCUGGAGACAGGUGCUGCAUGGCUGUCGUCAGCUCGUGUCGUGAGAUGUAGGGUUAAGUCCCGCAACGAGCGCAACCCUUGUCUUUAAUUGCCAUCAUUGAGUUGGGCACUUUAAAGAGACUGCCGGUGUUAAACCGGAGGAAGUGGGGAUGACGUCAAGUCCUCAUGGCCUUUAUGCCCAGGGCUACACACGUGCUACAAUGGGUGGUACAAAGAGCAGCCAGCUCGCGAGGGGGAGCCAAUCCCAUAAAGCCAUUCGUAGUCCGGAUCGCAGUCUGCAACUCGACUGCGUGAAGUCGGAAUCGCUAGUAAUCGUGGAUCAGAAUGUCACGGUGAAUACGUUCCCGGGUCUU